rnacentral:rRNA from 1 species
UAUGAACGCUGGCGGCGUGCCUAAUACAUGCAAGUAGAACGCUGAAGGAAGGAGCUUGCUCUUUCCGGAUGAGUUGCGAACGGGUGAGUAACGCGUAGGUAACCUGCCUGGUAGCGGGGGAUAACUAUUGGAAACGAUAGCUAAUACCGCAUAACAGUAGAUGUUGCAUGAUAUCUACUUAAAAGGUGCAAUUGCACCACUACCAGAUGGACCUGCGUUGUAUUAGCUAGUUGGUGAGGUAACGGCUCACCAAGGCGACGAUACAUAGCCGACCUGAGAGGGUGAUCGGCCACACUGGGACUGAGACACGGCCCAGACUCCUACGGGAGGCAGCAGUAGGGAAUCUUCGGCAAUGGACGGAAGUCUGACCGAGCAACGCCGCGUGAGUGAAGAAGGUUUUCGGAUCGUAAAGCUCUGUUGUAAGAGAAGAACGAGUGUGAGAGUGGAAAGUUCACACUGUGACGGUAUCUUACCAGAAAGGGACGGCUAACUACGUG